rnacentral:lncRNA from 12 species
AGAUGUUUGAACAUUGCCUGUCCAUUCUUGAUAUUCAUGGAAUAAUCUUUUUUUUUUCCUAUCAGGGAAGGAUGUCGAGAGAAUUAAUGACCUAUAUUUUGGAGUCUCUCAGAGCUGUGUAAACAAAAAGAAGUGGCAAUAAUUGAAGAGGGCAGAAGGAAAUGGAUUCUGGUACAGAAAUCAACGAACCAAAGACUUCAGCUGGAGCCCAAAUCCACACACACGCCAGACAUCUCAGAUUUGCGAAAGGAGUGAAAUCCUCCAGCGAAGUCCUGUUUUCACAUGGUAAAACACCAUUUGAAUUUUGAAAAUAAAUAGGAUUAAUAUCUUCGUC